GUCAUCGUUCUCAGAGAUAUGUUUCUUCUUCUUCAACACCAAAUCGAUAUUCCUUCAUCUAUAUUCUAACUAAUUGCGAUGCCACACAUAAGAAGGUAACAUAAACACAUUGGCUGGAAAUGUACCUCCGAAAGCUAACCUCGGUGACUUGAGGGGGCUUGAAUGGGCUUAAAAGUUCUUCGAUGAGAAGAUGAAGCAGGAAAGAGACUUGCUCAGGUUGUAAGUGAUCCAAGCUUAACCAAAUCUGGUGUUUACUGGAGCUGGAAUAAAGCUUCUGCUUCAUUUGAAAACCAGCUAUCUCAAGAGUACAUGCAGCAACCAAAAUAGAGAACACAAAACAAAUGCUUAAGAAAAUGUGAGACUCUUGUCAUGGAAGACAAGACCACUUUUGGAGGUGAGACAACUUUUUCUGAGCUUUGAUCAAAUUUAUUAGGAUUUUAUUUGGCAUUUUGAUUUUUGAAUACUUCUCUUGAUAUGAACUGUUAACAUAUUUUGUAUAUAUUGUAUCUAAUACUGGAAGGGAUCUCAGUUAGGACUUGAA